UUCAUUGAAUGGAUGCUACUAUAUAUACAAGUGUUGCUACUUCUGCUGGAGGAGAAGGAAUAUUCCUGAUGACGAUGACCUGCAGGAAGUGAUAGCACAAGGAGAAAAAUAUGACGUUGUCUAUAAAUAUAAAGAGGGAUGCAAGUGCACAUUACAAUCUGAUUUGAAUAAGAAAGUCGACCAAUUGAGAGUAAAAUUGGCACGGCAUAAUGCUCAACAGGAAAUAGUGGCGGCCAAUCUGGAUAAAUUUGAGCCUCAGCAAUUGUCAGGUAGAUAAUUGCUGAGCGAUUUCCAUGCACUGGAGGAAGAAUGAGCCAUGUGAAAACCAAUGGAUAUGAACAGAAUAUGAACGUUUAAACUGAUGAGUUUCACUAUGAAUCUAUUGACGCAACAAAGAAAUCAGUAUUUGAAGCUGACCAUUACUGUUACAAAGUGAUAUAUCAGCGAAGAGAAGGAGGUGCAAGUGCCUUUAAAGGGCAUGUAAAGGCAAAAAUAUA